AUUCUGCCCUUUCUGACAGCAUAAAUGGUAGCAGCUACAAUUAGAGAUAACAAGAAAAAAUAUGGUAGCAAAACCACUGCUCACAUAUCCCUUCUCAAAUGAAACUUAUCUCGAGAAACAAGCCCAGGGUGUCUUAUAUGCCAAGUAAACUCAAGCUGGGUGACUAUUAAUGAUUUGACAAGCCAUAAAGAAAUAACAUAAACACAUCUUUAUUAUCUGCCAUCUGUAUGAAAAAGUUACAGCUAUGUGAUUAGAAGCUGUAACAACAGAUACCUGUGGACAUUUGACAUUAAGAGACACUUAACAAACAGCUUAUUAAAGCUUUUUUGCUAAGAUGGAUAAAGGCAAAGGCAUUCAUAAUUAAGGCAACUGUUGUCCUUAAUUAUCCUCUAGCUGCUUGUGUGCUAGAUGUCCUGAGGGACAAGAAUCUAAAGAUAGGUCAUGUCAGAUAGGCAUAUUACUCAGAAGAAUACAUUUAAAAUUCAUUUUUUCCUACCUUUGUACAAACUAAAGGAUAUCCAGUUUGGGCUAAUUCUAGAAGACAGAUAUGUAGGGACCUUUUGCUUUUUUUGCAGGAAUGUAACAUACAGGUCAGUAAGAAAUGGGCUUCUCCCAUCACUGUCAAGUCGUAUGGUGACUUCUACAUUUAAAGCAGGCCUUAGAUCUCUGAUUGUGUCCUGUAAGAAAUUUCUUGAAGUAUACGGCAACCCUAAAUAUAAAAAAACAACUUUGUGUUUACACAAAAAGAUCUCAUUCUUGAAAUCCAUUCAGAAACAAGCUGGAAUGAUUUAAAGUGGACUAUGACUUGUGUUGGGAAAGCACCUAAGGAAGGGGAAGCUGCAUUCAGUGAAAAUUCUCUGUGUCUUACUGAUGGAGUCACAUCUUAUUGGGGCUAUCUGGCUCUGAUCAUUCAAGUGACUGAAACACGAAGCAGUGUUUGAGUAACUUGGUUUCUCAAAAAUCAGGUUAAUAAGGCUCUGGAAUUUGUUCUCUUGCCAGGUGUGAGGGGUUGAUUUUGUCUGGAUGCCAGGUGUCCACCAAGCUACUCUAUCACUUCCCCUUCUCCUGUGGUCAGGGGAGAGAAAACAAGACAGAAGAAAACUUGUAGGUCAAGAAAGGCAGUUUACUAGAGCAAAAAUUGAAAGUUGUACAUGCACAUGCAAGGAGAAAAAUGUAGAAUUCAUUCUCUACUUCCCAUACACAGGCAAUGCCCAGCACCACCAGGAAUCAGGACUUCAGCUAUGGCAAACUCUGCCCCAGCUCCAGUCAUGGACAAGGCUGGCCAGCUGCUCACCCUUGUGCUCAGUCAUCAGCCCCAGCACGGCUGAGAUCCCUCUGGCAGGGCAGAGUCUCCAUCACUUCUGAUUGAAAAUGGUGUUCCCAGCUACUGAAACCUUUUACGUUUCAGCUUGGGAAGGAAGAGAUUUUUCUUACUCUGAUAAUGUAAUAUUACAUUAUACAUUUGUCUGAUUUAAUUUCUUGCAUAAUGAUGCUUUUUAAAAAAAUCCAUAUUUGUUGAAGCCUUUUAAUAAUUUAACAUCUUUCAAAAUUCACUUUAUUAUUUUUGUAUUCUGUUAUCAAUUGUUUAGUGAAUAAACUUGUAAAUAUUGUCA
rnacentral:lncRNA from 1 species